CAGUAGCCACGGUAAUACGUAGGGUGCGAGCGUUAAUCGGAACUACUGGGCGUAAAGCGUGCGCAGGCGGUUCGUUAAGACAGAUGUGAAAUCCCCGGGCUUAACCUGGGAACUGCAUUUGUGACUGGCGAGCUAGAGUAUGGCAGAGGGGGGUAGAAUUCCACGUGUAGCAGUGAAAUGCGUAGAGAUGUGGAGGAAUACCGAUGGCGAAGGCAGCCCCCUGGGCCAAUACUGACGCUCAUGCACGAAAGCGUAGGGAGCAAACAGGAUUAGAUACCCCAGUAGUCCCUGUCUCUUAUCC
rnacentral:rRNA from 1 species